rnacentral:tRNA from 1 species
GCCUGGGUGGCUCAGUCCGUUGGGCGUCUGACUUUGGCUCAGGUCAUGAUCUCGUGUGGUUCGUGGGUUCGAACCCUACAUCACGCU